rnacentral:lncRNA from 1 species
GCGGGGCAGCCCCCGCCCUCCUGGCUCUCCAUCCCGGCGGAUCUUUGAUAGACUGGAGUGUCGCCGCUGCCACCACGGGAAAAUGGGUCAUGGAGGAGUGACUUCACCAACAUCACUCAUAGGUGCUUGUGUCCGUGGUGAGAAGGGUGAUGGAGAGAAGUGGCUGCAGUUCCCACCCAUGGAGAGGUCACUGGUGAAUCCCAGCUAAAGAGGAAGGACAGGCCCGGCCUGAGUCCCACAGGCUUACCAUCUGAGUCCUUCUGAUUGGGAUUGGGUACCAGGCGGCAGUUAUCGGGACCAGGAGGCACAUAAUCUGGGAUGCCAUCAUUGUCAUCAUCCCCAUCACACUCAUCUCCAAGUCCAUCGUUAUCAGAGUCCAGCUGGGAGCUAUUUGGCAGCUGUGGGCAGUUGUCCUUGGUGUCCUGAUGCCCAUCCCCAUCGCUAAUCAGAAGAACAGGUUGGUGAAAGUCCCGAACUUUGUCUCCCCACCCAGAGGACAACUGGCCAGGAAAUCUGCCUGUUUCUUGUCUCACCCUCUAGUCCACACUCUGCCUAACACUACGCCCUACCUCACAUUCCUAUUGACAUCUGCUGCAGGUAAUCUCUCCUCACCCAGGCCAACGUCCACAAGCCUGCCUCCCUAUUUCACAGAGACUUCCUAGCUUCCCUGCUUCAUCCCCACCUGAUCCAAAUUCUCACAGGUCCCCCAGCCACCCCUUCAGCCCCAGGCCUGCACCAUCCCCAUCCACGUCGUUGUCACAGGCAUCUCCUUCCCCAUUGCCAUCUGUGUCCUUCUGGUCAUUGUUGGGAACGUUGGGGCAAUUGUCACAGGCAUCACCAAAUGAAUCUGUAUCUGAGUUCUGCUGGUCUUUGUUGGGGAACAGCCGGCAGUUGUCCUGGGCAGAGGGGUGGGAGGGGAAGGGUCAGGUCUCCCCUAAAUCACUUGUCAUCUUGCACCUACCUUGUCUCUGUAUCCUUUUCUAAGAUCACACCCUUGUGAUGGACAAACUGCUCAGUACAGUCCCACCCACCCAGCCUCCUUGUCCUGGGCACGAGGUUUUUGCCUCCCUGAUUUGGAGUAUUUGGCCCUUACUAGAGAGCUGCCAGAUGAGGGACAUUUCCUUCACCUGGAGAAGGAUGGGGAGGAGUCAGCACUUGACAUCUGCCACCCUACCCCAGAAUCAGUGCCACCCUUCGCCAGCC